ACCAAGGCGUCUCUGCUGAAGGAGGAGAGGAGGAAUCUGACAGUCUCUGGACCCCUGUUGCCUUCAUCGCUCUCUUCCUGCUCAGCCUGUUGUACAGCGCCGGCGUCACGCUGCUUAAGGUGCGGUGAGUGCCCGGCUCUGGGCUCCUAGGAGGUGGACAGCACUGCUUCAUCCUCUUCAUUCCCUUCCUCCAUCUUCAGCCCUCCCGGGCUCCUGCUCCUCUCCGGACACCUGGAGGGACCAUGUUCCUCAGCAGCACGACAACAGCCGCUGAAGGGUCUGAGCUCCGCAGAACCCAGAGCAGGGAGGGCAGAGUCCUUCCCCAGACGUCCCCGUGGGGCAGCCCAUGCUGGAGGUUGAGCUCAGCGCCGUGCCCCUCAAUCCUCCACCCCCAUCCCACGGCAGGGUCUGGAUUUCCGUGUGUGUGUGUGUGUGUGUAUGUAUGUGCAGGUCUGUAGUGUCCUGAGGUCUGGUUAACGUGGACUGGCAAGGAAAAAGAGUCUCAUUUGCUCCAUUGUUUAACUUGCAACUUACACAGGAAUUUUGUGUUUGAUCCAAAAUAAAAGGAGUUAAAAAUUGGUA